rnacentral:lncRNA from 1 species
GAGUUCUAUCGGGUGUGUCCAAAUUAAGUUCUAAGCAUAUGGUACGUUCCAUGCAGACCGAGCAUCUAUCUUGCAUCAAGAUUAGCACUAUCUACAAAUAGACCAAAUCGAGCUUUCAUGAGCCUUUUACCUAGGAGUACCAUCGGGUGCUUCCGAAAUGGUUUCUUAGCCUAUGCUACAUUAUAUGCAAACCUUGCACCGAAACUAACACUAUCUCCAAACAGACCGAAGAAGAGUUCAUAUGACUGUUGGGUAUUUUAAACGCAAACAGAAAAAUCCGCAAGCGCAAGGAUACCAAUGUAGCCUUCACCCGGGAGUAUUCCAGAGUAUCGAUUUUCCACAGAGAACGUGAGUGUACUAAUUAAGAUCCAAGAUCGCCCAAGGAUAACUAUAUAAUUAUUUUUGGUGGGAAGAGAGGAAGUUUCCUGAGAGUUCUCUAGUUGAUCUAAGAAUCAAGAAUUACUUCAAAGAUUUUCUAUUUCGGGACAUUAGAGCACUAACCACAGAAAGAGAUGAGAAGGGGGCUAGGAAGGUCUGACUACGGUCCUACAAACACCGAUCCGAACGAGGUGGAAUACGUGGACCGUUAGGGCUGUCACUACCCUAAGGCUACCACAACAAUCCGCAGGAUUGGGUGCAAUUCCAGGUAAUCGCA